CUCCAGAAUGCCGCCAGUCUCCAUCGUGUUCGCCGAAGACACCGAACACGUCGAGCAAAACACGUCUUCGGAUGUCCAAGGUGAACUCGGGAACAUAAGCGCCUUGGAAGAUUCAUCGGCAGUCGUGCUGGAUUAUGUGUAACGGCGCGGUCGCCGGCAACGCUGACGCCGACCAUUUUCUGGAUCCCGCGCAGCCACCACCAAUGCGUCUAGGUUUUUUUUAAUUGUGUAUACCUAUCUCUAUCUAGCGUCAACGUGAAUUUCUAACGAUAUCGUUAUAAA